rnacentral:rRNA from 1 species
UACGUAGGAGGCAAGCGUUGUCCGGAAUUACUGGGCGUAAAGCGCGUGUAGGUGGUGGGACAAGUCUGCUGUGAAAGCGCCUGGCUUAACCGGGCGAGGUCGGCGGAAACUGUCCGACUCGAGGACGGUAGAGGGGGGUGGAAUUCCCGGUGUAGUGGUGAAAUGCGUAGAGAUCGGGAGGAACACCUGUGGCGAAGGCGGCCCCCUGGGCCGGCCCUGACACUGAGAAGCGAAAGCAUGGGGAGCGAACAGG